UACGUAGGGCGCAAGCGUUGUCCGGAAUUAUUGGGCGUAAAGAGCGCGUAGGCGGGCUUCUAAGUGAGAGGUGAAAGGUUCGGGCUCAACCCGGAGAGUGCCUUUCAUACUGGGAGCCUUGAGUGCGGUAGGGGAGACUGGAAUUCCUGGUGUAGCGGUGAAAUGCGCAGAUAUCAGGAGGAACACCGGUGGCGAAGGCGGGUCUCUGGGCCGUAACUGACGUUGAGGCGCGAAAGCGUGGGGAGCAAACAGG
rnacentral:rRNA from 1 species